GACGAACGCUGGCGGCGUGCUUAACACAUUCAAGUCGAACGAAGUGGCGAACGGGUGAGUAACGCGUAAUCAACCUGCCCUUCAGAGGGGGACAACAGUUGGCAACGACUGUUAAUACCGCAUACUGAAGGAGGGGAUUGGGUCUGAUUAGCUAGUUGGAGGGGUAACGGCCCACCAAGGCGAUGAUCAGGAGCCGGUCUGAGAGGGUGAACGGCAAAAUUUGGCAUGAGACAAGGCCCAGAAUCAUACGGGAGGCAGCAGUGGGGAAUCUUCCGCAAUGGACGAAAGUCUGACGGAGCAACGCGGCGUGAGUGAUGACGGCCUUCGGGUUGUAAAGCUCUGUUAAGCGGGACGCGGUACCGGAAUAGAAAGCCACGGCUAACUACGUGCCAGCAGCCGCGGUAAUUC
rnacentral:rRNA from 1 species